rnacentral:rRNA from 1 species
UUUCCCUCGUACCUUUUGCAUCAUGAUUUAGCCAGCAUACUCAAGCAAAGAGAACUUUAGUUUGACCCCCCGAAACUGCGUGAGCUACUCCAAGACAGCCUAUUAAUUAGGGCAAACCCGUCUCUGUGGCAAAAGAGUGGGGAGAGCUUUGAGUAGAGGUGAUAAACCUAUCGAACACAGUUAUAGCUGGUUGCCUGGGAACUGGAUUUAAGUUCAGCCUGUCGGCUUCUCCAUAAACCGACACAGUUAGUCAAAGGGGGUACAGCCCCUUUGAAACAGGACACAACCUUUUAAGGAGGAUAAAGAUCAAAUUCAAUAAGGAAAGAUGUUUUAGUGGGCCUAAGAGCAGCCAUCCUGAUGAAAAGCGUUAAAGCUUAGACAUACGAUCCCGAUAAAAACAUCUUAAUCCCCUAUAUUGUACCAGGCCAUCCUAUGCCCCCAUAGGAGUGACUAUGCUAAUAUGAGUAAUAAGAGAGCCCUCUCUCCCUGCACACGUGUAAAUCGGAACGGACCUCCCACCGAGCCUUAACGGCCCCAACUAAAGAGGGAAAUGAAACACAAAACAAGAAAACCCCCCACCGUUAACCCAACACAGGUGUGCUCCCAAGGAAAGACUAAGAGAAGGAGAAGGAACUCGGCAAACAAGCCUCGCCUGUUUACCAAAAACAUCGCCUCUUGCACGUAUAAG